rnacentral:misc_RNA from 1 species
UCCAGUUUAUCACCGGCAGUCUCCCUAGAGUGCCCAGCUUUACCUGAUGGCAACUAAGGACAAAGGUUGCGCUCGUUGCGGGACUUAACCCAACACUUCACAGCACGAGCUGACGACAGCCAUGCAGCACCUGUGUAAAUGUCCCUUGCGGGAAAGCCCACUUUCAUGGGAUGUCAUAUACAUGUCAAAUCGGGGUAAGGUUCUUCGCGUAGCCUCGAAUUAAACCACAUGCUCCACCGCUUGUGCGGGUCCCCGUCAAUUUCUUUGAGUUUCAGUCUUGCGACCGUACUCCCCAGGUGGUGGACUUAAUGAGUUAUCGGCGGCGCUGAGAGGAUCAACACUCCCAACACCUAGUCCACAUCGUUUACGGCAAGGACUAC